rnacentral:lncRNA from 1 species
UAAUGAGCUUCUCUUAAAGAACACGCUCAUUAAUUAAUAUACUUUAGUUAAUAAAUAAUCCUUAAUGGACCCCCCCCAAUGAAUGGUUCGGUCCAGAAACUCCUCUAAGGCUCCCCCAUCAAUGAACUUAAUUAAUUAAAAUUAAUUAAUUCGUGUUGAUGAUUGUCACCGUAAUGAGCUUCUCCUAAAGAGCCAGCUCGUUAAUUAAUAUACUUUAAUUAAUAAAUAAGCAACCUCCCCACCCCGCAGGAAUGGUUCGGUCCAGAAAUCCCCUUAAGGCUGCCCGUUAAUGAACAGUGCUAAUUAAUUAAUUAAUUAAUUUCUGUUAAUGACCGCCAGCUUAUGGAGCUUCUGUUAAAGAACAUCCUCGUUAAUUUACAUAUUGUAAUUAAUAGAUUUCCUCCAUUAAUAACCCCCUAAUUAACAGCCCCAUUAAUCGUGUCUAAUUAGCUGUGUUAAUGACUUCCCCAUUAAUUACCCCUAAUUAAUGCUGUUAAUGACUCUCCCUAUUAAUACCCCCCCUCAUUAAUUACCUCCCUAAUUAAUUCCCUGUAAUUACGGCCCGGUGGGUCGAUGAGGGCGCUAAUUAACGCUAAUUAACGCUAAUUAAUUCUGUUAAUUGCAGUGGACUCCAUCUGCCUGCGCUGGGCGCCCCCGAAGCACAAACAGGCCAAGGUGGCCAAGAAGUGAAAUUCCCCUUUUGCCCAAUUUUGCCGUUUUUCACCCCAAAUUUGGGGAUUUUUUCCCUCCAGUUUUGGGGUUUUUCCUCCAAUUUUUGGGUUUUCCCCAAAUUUUUGGAGUUUUCCUCUCAAAUUUUUGGAUUUUCCCCGGAAAUUUUGGGGUUUUUCCACCAAAUUUUUGGGGUUUUCUCUUUAAAUUUUUGUGGGUUUUCCCCUAAAUUUUUGGGGUUUUCCUCUUAAAAUUUUGGGGAUUUUCCACCAAUUUUUUGAGGUUUUCCCCUUAAAAAUUUGGGGUUUUGCCACCAAUUUUUUUGGGUUUUCCUCUUAAAUUUUGGGGGUUUUCCACCAAAUUUUUGGGUUUUUUUUCCAUCUCAGUUUUGG